GGUGUGAGAAGUGGAGAAAUAGGAGCAAAAAGGUGUGGCACUUUCUUUUUUCCAACUUGGAUGCAAGUGGAUGCUGCUUUUUUUUUCUUCAGUCCUUGGUGGGUGUGGAGGCCUUCUUCUGGCUCUGACGAGGGAUGGCUUUAUCUGAGUUUUUCAGACAGCCAGUCAGUCAGCAAAUCAGUUACUCUAUCACUACAGACACACUCGAGCAGCCCAGCAUGCCACUGACUCAUCAAGCCAUGCAAUCAGCCAUUCAGCAAGCAGGAAAAACGGUCAAUUGCGGACACAUCCUGUGUGGAAGCUGGAGGGAAACCUGACAUCAUUAAAGUCCCCAACAACUUGUUGACUCAGUAGGAAGGAAGACAUGCUGAUAACUGAAUGUGUGUUUGCUUGAGUGUGGACACCUGUGUGUCUUGUUGGGUGCACUCCCACCUGUUCAUGUGUGCACCCACGCAGAGACAUUGACGAACAUGUAAACAUGUAUGUUUGCAUAUUCUUAUAUC
ensembl:lncRNA